rnacentral:lncRNA from 10 species
GCUGGUACGAGGAUCAGCAGUGAUUUCUUUGAGGAGGAGAGCCCGUUUCUUCACUCACAGGCCAUGUCUGAGUGGAUCAAGAAGAACAGAGUGCCCUUUUAUGAGAUUUUGUCUGCGUAGACCACUAGCUUGGACUGGUGCUCUGGAUGGCUGAGGUUUUAAUGUGACUGGAUGUCCCUUGGAGUAGCUCCCAGGCUGUGCUCUUGUGGUUGGGUGCUCCUCCUGGAGGGAGAGAAAAGUCUCUCCUAGGUAUUUGGUUGUCCACCUCAACCACUUGCUGAGUCUUCCGCAAGACCAGGCACCUCGGCAGAGAUUUCUGGGUUGUCAGGCAGAACCGAGCAUUCAAGGGUGAUAACUCACUGGAGUCCCUGAAAUCCCUGAUGGACGCACCAGGCGGAAUUCUCCACGAGUUUUGAGCAGCCUCGGGUUUCCCACCACCUCCAAAUCAUGGAAGACACACGGUGCAGGCAGAGCCCCCCAGCCGUGGCCAGCCCUUCCGGCAGCUCCGAAGCCACUGGCAAGCCCCGAGGCAGGGAUGGCCGGCCCAGGAGGGAGGAGGACGACGUCCCUCCCGAAGAGAAGAGGCUGCGGCUGUAGCUGGAGGGGGGAAGCGCAGAACCCGAGGACUGCGAGGACGGGGAGGACGCGCCGCGGCCAGGCAGGGAGGAGACCGGCACCCAGACAGGUGGCGAAGGCAGAGGAGUGCAGUGGUUCACACCUGUAAUCCCAGCACUUUGGGAGGCCGAGGCUGGCGGAUCACCUAAGGUCAGGAGUUCGAGACCAGCCUGGUCAACAUGGCAAAACUGUCUCUACUAAAAAUACAGAAAUUAGCCAGGUGUGAUGGCACACACCUGCAAUCCCAGCUACUUGGGAGGCUGAGGCAGGAGAAUCGUUUGCACCUGGGAGACAGAGGUUGCAGUCAGCCGAGAUUGAACCACUGUACUUCAGCCAGCCUGGGUGACAGAGCGAGACUCUGUUUCAAAAAUAAAUAAAUAAAUAAAAUAGAAUUCUGAA